rnacentral:rRNA from 1 species
AUGGCAAGGCCGGGCGGUAUCAACACCUCCUCGUGGAGCCUCCCAGGCCCAGCCCUGCAAAAACUCGCCAAUCCCAGGAAACCAUGCGCCUCCGGCUCACGGCCGAGACCUUUACAUCCGCGAGGCAGCCACAAACACGCGGUCUCGGCAGCAUCCACCGGCCAAGGCGAGCAGCAACCUGCGCCCGCCGUCGCGGCGCCGCGGGCUCGGCCCGAUGCCGACACGUUCAGCGUCGAGUUCCUGACGCGCGACGGCUGCCGGCUCGGCAUCUCACGGUACCCGGACUUCGCUUACAACGCACAUGGCGGCCGCGGCGUGGGCGCCGGGCGUGGCGCGAGCGGCACGGAGGAGGCGGAUGACAAGGUACUCGUCGAUUUUGACGUGUCGAGCCUAUACAUCCCGGCGAUGUCCGGCGCCACCACUAGGUUCCUAGGGCUGCCGCUGCCGCCGUUCCUCAAGAUCGACAUCUUGCCCGAGGCUCUGCGCGGGAGCAUCGAUCGGACGACUGGUCAGGUCGACCUGAAGUUCAGGUCGAGGUUCUGUUUCUCGGUUGGGAGCAUCUACCAAGCUCCGCCGUUGUUCGUCGACACAACACUGACGUCUGAGGAGUCCAGUGGAGCCAUAAGACGUGGGACUGGCGAAAGAUUGGACGGUGGAGGGAGAUGCAAGCUGGUCGGGGUGGCCGUCCUCAACCCCAUCGAUGACGUAUUCAUGAACACCUUCCUCAACCUGCCAACCGAGUGCAUUGCUUAUUUGAACGCCACCAUCUCCAUCGCCAGCGCUACCUGA